rnacentral:rRNA from 2 species
GAGCGGCGAACGGGUGAGUAACACGUGAGUAACCUGCCCCCGACUCUGGGAUAAGCCCGGGAAACUGGGUCUAAUACCGGAUAUGACACCUCCUCGCAUGGGGUGGGUGUGGAAAGUUUUUCGGUUGGGGAUGGACUCGCGGCCUAUCAGCUUGUUGGUGGGGUAAUGGCCUACCAAGGCGACGACGGGUAGCCGGCCUGAGAGGGCGACCGGCCACACUGGGACUGAGACACGGCCCAGACUCCUACGGGAGGCAGCAGUGGGGAAUAUUGCGCAAUGGGCGAAAGCCUGACGCAGCGACGCCGCGUGGGGGAUGACGGCCUUCGGGUUGUAAACCUCUUUCAGCAGGGACGAAGUUGACGUGUACCUGCAGAAGAAGCGCCGGCUAACUACGUGCCAGCAGCCGCGGUAAUACGUAGGGCGCAAGCGUUGUCCGGAAUUAUUGGGCGUAAAGAGCUCGUAGGUGGCUUGUCACGUCGGGUGUGAAAGCUUGGGGCUUAACUCCAGGUCUGCAUUCGAUACGGGCUGGCUAGAGGUAGGUAGGGGAGAACGGAAUUCCU